rnacentral:tRNA from 1 species
GGUUCCAUGGUGUAACGGUUAGCCCGCUGGACUUUGAAUCCAGCAAUCUCAGUUCAAAUUUCAGUGGAACCU